UAAAGCAAGAAAGGGCGUAUGGGGAAUGCCUAGGCACACUCCGGCGAAGAAGGACGCAGCAAACAGCGAAAUGCGACGGUGAGCGGUAAGCACGUGAAGAGCCGUCGAUAUCCGAAUGGGGGAACCCACACGGAGUCAUAUCCGUGUAUCACAUGUCGAAUACAUAGACAUGAUGAGGCGAGACGCAGGGAACUGAAACAUCUAAGUACCUGCAGGAAGAGAAAAUAAGAAUGAUUUUCUGAGUAGCGGCGAGCGAAAGGGAAAGAGCCCAAACCGAUUUUAGGAUCGGGGUAGUAGGAUCAUCGAGGAAUCUGACAGAGGAUCAUAGAGGAAUCACAUGGGAAGGUGAGCGAGAGAGGGUGAGAGCCCCGUACUCGAAAUGAGAGACUGGAGAGAGAUGACACCUGAGUAGGGCGGGACACGAGAAAUCCUGUCUGAAUCAGCCGGGACCAUCCGGCAAGGCUAAAUACGAGAGAGUGACCGAUAGUGAACCAGUACCGUGAGGGAAAGGUGAAAAGAACCCCGGGAGGGGCGUGAAAGAGAACCUGAAACCAUAUGCCUACAAGAAGUCAGAGCCCGUUAAAGGGUGAUGGCGUGCCUUUUGUAGAAUGAACCGGCGAGUUACUGUAUGGAGCGAGGUUAAGCAGGAUAUGCGGAGCCGAAGCGAAAGCGAGUCUUAAGAGGGCGCGAGUUGCAUGCAGUAGACCCGAAACCGGGUGAUCUAGCCAUGACCAGGUUGAAGUUGGGGUAAAACCCGAUGGAGGACCGAACCGACCCCCGUUGAAACGUUGGCGGAUGAGUUGUGGCUAGGGGUGAAAUUCCAAUCGAACCCGGAGAUAGCUGGUUCUCCCCGAAAUAGCUUUAGGGCUAGCGUCGAGAGAAGAGUUGCGUGAAGGUAGAGCACUGAAUAUGUGAUGGCCCCAUCUCGGGGUACUGAGCAUAAUCAAACUGCGAAUGUCACGCCAACAUGCUCGGCAGUCAGACAGCGGGUGAUAAGGUCCGUUGUCAAGAGGGAAACAGCCCAGACCAUCAGCUAAGGUCCCAAAAUGUAUGCUAAGUGGAAAAGGAUGUGGAGAUGUACAGACAACUAGGAGGUUGGCUCAGAAGCAGCCAUCCUUUAAAGAGUGCGUAACAGCUCACUAGUCGAAUGACUCUGCGCCGAUAAUUUACCGGGGCUAAGCAUACUACCGAAGCUAUGGAUCCCAAGGGAUGGUAGGGGAGCGUUCCAUGAACGGAGAAGUACGACCGAAAGGACGUGUGGAGAUCAUGGAAGAGAGAAUGCCGGUGUGAGUAGCGGAACGUGGGUGAGAAUCCCACGCACCGAAAACCCAAGGUUUCCAGAGGAAGGUUCGUCCGCUCUGGGUAAGUCGGGACCUAAGGCGAGGCCGAAAGGCGUAGUCGAUGGACAACAGGUAGAGAUUCCUGUACCCGUAUAUAUGUGAAGGAAUGACGGAGAGAGGAAGCUGCAGCCAGCGGCUGGAAGAGCUGGUGCAAGCGAGAUAUCGGGAUGGCAGGCAAAUCCACCAUCCGAAACGAGAAGGCGUGAAGCGUACGGAAAGCUACGGCGAGUACGGAAGGCAGUGGAGGAACUUCCAAGAAAAGUUUCUAACGUUAAGUAUAUAUGGCCCGUACCGAAAAUGGACACACAUGGGUGAGGAGAGAAUCCUAAGGUGAGCGAGAGAACUAUAGCUAAGGAACUCUGCAAAAUGACUCCGUAACUUAGGGAGAAGGAGUGCUCAUAGAGAUAUGAGCCGCAGUGAAACGGCCCAAGCGACUGUUUACCAAAAACACAGCUCUCUGCUAAGCCGCAAGGCGAAGUAUAGGGGGUGACGCCUGCCCGGUGCUGGAAGGUUAAGGGGAGGGGUUAACGCAAGUGAAGCCCUGAACUGAAGCCCCAGUAAACGGCGGCCGUAACUAUAACGGUCCUAAGGUAGCGAAAUUCCUUGUCAGGUAAGUUCUGACCC
rnacentral:rRNA from 1 species